rnacentral:lncRNA from 1 species
AUGGGAUACUCAUUCUACGAAACUAGUUUCAAUGAUCCAACCGUCAAACAUGUUUAUAUAUACUUCGAGAUUGCGUACGCCAAAAAUUGCAAAAAACAAACAUUCAGAGAUCAAGUAACGGGACAAAACGUUUCGACGGUUAUAAACGAAAAAUCACGAUUUAACGGUCAUUUUAACUCCGAUUUUGAUGAUUUUUUACAACUACACUCCUUGACCCUAUAUGAAUACAAUGAUUAAAUUCGAUCUUCAAUUUAAAAUAUUUACACUAGUGGAAACCACAAAAUUUUAUGUUAUACUUAAUAAAAGUAUGAAUAAACUCUUAAGUAUUAGUGAAUCUAUUGUUUUGAUGGGAUACUCAUUCUACGAAACUAGUUUCAAUGAUCCAACCGUCAAACAUGUUUGUAUAUAUUCGAGAUCGCAUACGCCAAAAAUUGCAAAAAACAAACAUUCAGAGAUCACGUAACGGGACAAAACUUUUCGACGGUUAUAAACGAAAAAUCACAAUUUAACGGUUAAUUAACUCCGAUUUUGAUGAUUUUUUACAACUACACUCCUUGACUUUAUAUGAAUACAAUGAUUGAAUUCGAU